rnacentral:rRNA from 1 species
UACGUAGGGGGCAAGCGUUGUCCGGAUUUAUUGGGCGUAAAGAGCGUGUAGGCGGUUUGGUAGGUCCGUUGUGAAAACUCGAGGCUCAACCUCGAGACGCCGGCGGAAACCAUCAGGCUAGAGUCCGGAAGAGGAGAGUGGAAUUCCUGGUGUAGCGGUGAAAUGCGCAGAUAUCAGGAAGAACACCCGUGGCUAAGGCGGCUCUCUAGUACGGUACUGACGCUGAGACGCGAAAGCGUGGGGAGCGAACAGG